rnacentral:rRNA from 1 species
AGAGUUUGAUCAUGGCUCAGAAUCAACGCUGGCGGCGUGCCUAACACAUGCAAGUCGCACGAGAAAGGGUAGCAAUACCUGAGUAAAGUGGCGCACGGGUGAGUAACACGUGAAUGAUCUACCUCCGAGUGGGGAAUAACUGAGAGAAAUCUCAGCUAAUACCGCAUAACACUUACGAGUCAAAGCAGCAAUGCGCUUGGAGAGGAGUUCGCGGCCGAUUAGUUAGUUGGCGGGGUAAUGGCCCACCAAGACGAUGAUCGGUAUCCGGCCUGAGAGGGCGCACGGACACACUGGAACUGAAACACGGUCCAGACUCCUACGGGAGGCAGCAGUGGGGAAUUUUGCGCAAUGGGGGAAACCCUGACGCAGCAACGCCGCGUGGAGGAUGAAAUAUCUUGGUAUGUAAACUCCUUUCGAUGGGGAAGAUUAUGACGGUACCCAUAGAAGAAGCCCCGGCUAACUUCGUGCCAGCAGCCGCGGUAAUACGAGGGGGGCAAGCGUUGUUCGGAUUUAUUGGGCGUAAAGGGUGCGUAGGCGGUUUGAUAAGUCUGAUGUGAAAUCUAUGGGCUCAACCCAUAGUCUGCAUUAGAAACUGUCGGGCUUGAGUAUGGGAGAGGUGAGUGGAAUUUCCGGUGUAGCGGUGAAAUGCGUAGAUAUCGGAAGGAACACCUGUGGCGAAAGCGGCUCACUGGACCAUAACUGACGCUGAUGCACGAAAGCUAGGGGAGCAAACAGGAUUAGAUACCCCGGUAGUCC